AUACGGAGGGGGCUAGCGUUGUUCGGAUUUACUGGGCGUAAAGCGCACGUAGGCGGUAUAUCAAGUUAGGCGUGAAAGCCCCGGGCUCAACCCGGGAACUGCGCUUAUUACUGAUAAACUAGAGUCCGGGAGAGGGUAGCGGAAUUCCCAGUGUAGAGGUGAAAUUCGUAGAUAUUGGGAAGAACACCAGUUGCGAAGGCGGCUACCUGGACCGGUACUGACGCUGAGGUGCGAAAGCGUGGGGAGCAAACAGGAUUAGAAACCCCAGUAGUCC
rnacentral:rRNA from 1 species